GUUAGUAUGGGGGGAUCUGUGGAGACCGUUGAUGGCUUAUUGCAAAUAUGCAACUUCCACUCAACUGAGGAAUUAGAAUUGAAAGGGAGGGAAGCUUGGGGAAAUUUGCCAGAAUCAAUUCAACAUCUCACCUCUACUGGUUGGUUAGAGAUAGAGAAUUAUGGAAUGGAAGAGUUGCCUGAAUGGUUGGGGAACCUCUCAUCUCUAUGGAGAUUGCAUAUAUUUAAUUGCAAGAAGUUAAGGUGUCUACAUGCGCUGCGGGGCCUCACAUCACUUGUUUUCUUAUAUAUUAAGGGUUGCCCUGAAAUAAGUUAUGAACAACAAAGUGAUGCAGAUGAUUCCCAAUGGCCCAACAUUUCCCAUAUUUACUACAUUGAGAUUGAUGGACACAACAUAGUUGAAGAGAGAAUACUUGAAGAGAGAAGGAGAAAAUAUACUCAGAGUUUGAUGAGUAGGUGCCUCUAAAGUGUCCAUUUGAAUUGCUCAACCUUUCUUCAUGUUUACUGGGAUUCCGUUGACAGAACUACGUAGAUUGCUGAAUUCAAGUAACCCUGCUCUUCUUAUCUUUUAUAUUCUAGCUUUGUUCUCUUUGGUUUAUGGU